rnacentral:rRNA from 1 species
GACGAACGCUGGCGGCGUGCUUAACACAUGCAAGUCGAACGGAAAGGCCCUGCUUUUGUUGGGUGCUCGAGUGGCGAACGCGUGAGUAACACGUGAGUAACCUGCCCUUGUCUUUGUGAUAACUUCAGGAAACUGGGGCUCAUACCCGAUAUGAGCUCCUGCUGCAUGGUGUGGGUUGGAAAGUUUCGGCUGUUGUGGCUGGACUCGCGGCUUCUCCGCUUGUUUGUGGGGUAGUUGCUUACCAAGGGUUUGACGGGUAGCCUGCCUGAGAGGGUGACCGGCCACAUGGGGACUGAGAGAGGGAGCAGACUCCUACGGGAGGCAGCAGGGGGGAAUAUUGCACAAUGGGCGGAAGCCUGAUGCAGCAACGCCGCGUGCGGGAUGACGGCCUUCGAGUGGUAAACCGCUUUCGCCGGUGACGAAGCGUGAGUGACGGUAAUGGGUAAAGAAGCACCGGCUAACUACGUG